rnacentral:rRNA from 1 species
GAUGAACGCUGGCGGCGUGCCUAAUACAUGCAAGUCGAGCGAACAGACGAGUAUCUUGCUCCUCUGACGUUAGCGGCUGACGGGUGAGUAACACGUGGAUAACCUACCUAUAAUACUGGGAUAACUUCGUGACACCGGCGCUAAUACCGUAUAAUAUCUUUAUCCUCAUGUUUCAAUAGUGAAAUACGUUUUUUCUGUCACUUUUAGCUGUAUCCGCGCCGCAUGAGCUAGUUGUUAAGGUAACGGCUUACCAAGGCAACGAUGCUUAGCCGACAUGAGAGGGUGAUCGGCCACACUGGAACUGAGACACGGACCAGACUACUACGGGAGGCAGCAGUAGGGAAUCUUCCGCAAUGGGCGAAAGCAUGACGGAGCAACGCCGCGUGAGUGAUGAAGGUCUUCGGAUCGUAAAACUCUGUUAUGAGGGAAGAACAAAUGUGUAAGUGACUAUGCACGUAUUGACGGUACCUAAUCAGAAAGCCACGGCUAACUACGUG